GGAAUCUUCCACAAUGGACGAAAGUCUGAUGGAGCAACGCCGCGUGAGUGAAGAAGGGUUUCGGCUCGUAAAACUCUGUUGUUAAAGAAGAACAUAUCUGAGAGUAACUGUUCAGGUAUUGACGGUAUUUAACCAGAAAGCCACGGCUAACUACGUGCUAG
rnacentral:rRNA from 1 species